CCGCCCAGGCCCUGGCCGCGGGGCCCUAGAGCCCGUCCCCAGCUUCCCGUCGCCCCUCCCGGGACCUCAGAAACUGCCGGGGCUCAGGCUGACGUGUCUCCCUUAGACCCUUGUUUUGUCCUCGGCUGCCUCUGAAUUCCUGACACACUCACCAUUUCUGCCUGAAUGCUUUAGACUCCAUCCGUGGGAUCUGCCUCGGAACUCCUGACCAGAUGACCAGAGCUUGUGCCGAGCUGACAGAAAAUCAUCAACCAGCACAGAAUCCAUCAGCUGGGAGUCUGCUCCAUUUGAAACUCACUGGAGGACUUAGGGACAGACAGAAGCCAGGCUCUGAGCUACCUAAAUUGCCACAGAGCCAGAGAACAAUGGAAGGAACCUGGCCUCUCUGCGACCUGCACAGUUUAUCUCUUUUGGAAUGGGGACUGCAGGCCGGCGGCAGCUCUUACACCAUGAAAGCCACGACAGAAACAGGGCGAUGGGAAAGCCCCACUGUUCUAAUGGUUCCACCACUGGGAAGUUCAGUUUAGAAGGGGGAUCCACACAGGGUAGCCUCCAACAGCAUGUCAAUCCAGCUUCAGCACUCUGGCAUUCUCUUCUGGCCUCAGCGGGCACCUGAACUCAUCCGUACCAUC